rnacentral:tRNA from 1 species
GGGCAGGUGGCGAAAUUGGUAGCCGCGCCAGCCUUAGGAGCUGGUCCUAGCAAUAGGAUGGGAGUUCGAGUCUCCCCCUGCCCA